UUGACUUGAGAGCAGGUCAGGCCAUGAGAGAAUUCAAUGUAGUGUGAUCACUUAUGGAUUCAUUUGCAGAAUUUGUGCUUCAGAAUAACUAUUUUUGUAAACUUCCUUCCACCUUCUGUGAGUGUCCAGGAAUAAUUUUUCUUCAAGAUCUCCAGGACAUCAUAUGGACUCUGGCGGAACAUUUUCUUCACCCCUACUGAGGCCCACAGGGAAAACAUUGUAAAGGAAAGGCACUAGGGAGAAUUCAAAGAUAUCUUCCAGGGGUAUUAGUGGGACACUUAAUGCCUUCCUGUCCAGGUAUUGGAUGAAUAUACAUUCAAACUG